GAUGAACGCUAGCGGCAGGCCUAAUACAUGCAAGUCGAGCGGCAAGUUGAGAAGCAAUUCGAGACCUAGAGCGGCGUACGGGUGCGUAACGCGUAUGCAACCUACCUCAUACAGGGGGAUAGCCCGGAGAAAUCUGGAUUAAUACCCCAUGGUACAUAUUGAAGGCAUCUGAGAUAUGUUAAAGAUUCAUCGGUAUGAGAUGGGCAUGCGUCUGAUUAGCUAGUUGGCGGUGUAACGGACCACCAAGGCGACGAUCAGUAGGGGUUCUGAGAGGAAGGUCCCCCACACUGGCACUGAGAUACGGGCCAGACUCCUACGGGAGGCAGCAGUAGGGAAUAUUGGGCAAUGGUCGGAAGACUGACCCAGCCAUGCCGCGUGCAGGAAGACGGCGUUCUGCGUUGUAAACUGCUUUUAUCUGGGAAGAAAAGGCCCAUGCGUGGGACAUUGCCGGUACCAGAUGAAUAAGCACCGGCUAACUCCGUGCCAGCCGCCGCAGUAACAC
rnacentral:rRNA from 1 species